rnacentral:lncRNA from 1 species
CAUUUCCUUCUUUGUUAUAUUUUCCUUUUUAAUGCAUAAUUUCUCAAAUAAAUAUUCUUGUUUUUAUGUGAUGUUCAUAAGUACUAAAAGAAAUCCUUGUUCUUCAAAAUAAAUAUAGUUUAUUGGUUCAUCGGUAAAAUCAAUCUGUUCUAGUCUUACUCAGCUAGGAUAUGUGUUUGGAUAGAAGAAAACACACAACCAUAGCAAGGCCAACAAGGCUGACCCGAGCUCUGUAAGCUAGCCUAACCAGGGGCGGAGACAGAAAAAAAACAUAGGAAGGGUCAGAAUAGAAGAGAUGAUUUAUUGCGCGGGGUUGGGGGGGGCAUAAAAACUGAAGCUUAUAAGAUUAAAUUGCAAAGGUUAUGAGGGGGCUUAAGUAAAAAUUCCAAAUCUUAGGGGGGGCCAGGGCCCGUGCUGGCCUGGGUGCUGCCUCUGCCACUGAGCUUAACU